GUCACUUUAACUUUAAAGACUAUUUUAAGAAAGUCACGUGUAAACGUGAAAUAGAUGUUUAUACCCCAGUAGGUGACAAAUACAACCUUUGAGGCAAAGAACAAACCGUCCAUCUCUCUUGCUGGCUUUAGUUCAUCCGUCUACCUGAAGACAGGCCCAAGUGCAUACUCGGGUUUCUUGCAGUUCAGAAUCGUCUCUGAUUCAACAAAACUGAGUUUCACUCCAUAUCUGAAUUAACAACCUUAAAGAAGACUACAGUGGUUAAAAGAGGAAGAGUAGAGAUCUGUUCCAUAAAUGAUUAAUGUACCCCUUUGGGGAGUAAUUUUUCAGAAAUAUGUGCCAUGAGUAAAACUAGAGAAUUCCACCUCUGAGUGAGGGUAGAUUUAUAUAUAUCCUGAAUCUAUAUAUAUCUUGAAUUCCUAUAUAUCUUGAAUCUAUAUAUGUCUUGAAUAUAUAUAUCUUGAAUAUAUAACUCUUGGAUACAUACAUAUGUAACUUGAAUAUAUGUAUACAUGCAUGUAUGUAUAGACAUACAUACAUGCGUGUAUAUAUAUAUAUAUAUAUAUGUGUGCAUAUAUAUAUAUAUAUAUACACACACAUAUAUAAAUUUUUGGUUAUGUCUGUUUACCUGAACUGAUUUGAGAUCAGACUCAAACAGAUUCUUAAGCAUCUGGUGCCAAGUUACUGAAUUAAAAUUUCUUGAUGAACUAUUUUAAGUUAUUUCAAAUUAAAUUUUCUACGUACUGGAAUUGUUUGUUUGAUUUUAUCUUAAAAUUCUAUUCUAUCUGUUAUACACCCCUUUACACAACCUUUCCAAAUGUCCAACUACCAAAACAAUACGGUUAAAAAAGGCAGGAGUAGCAAUCCUUCUAUAGUUUAUUGUGAGGAGCUGGACGUAAAAGCAACACCCUAAGGACAUUCAAGCAAAUAGCACUAUUUCCUUUAACGUUGUUUCAUCUCUUCCCCAGAGUCGCUCCUUUGUUGUCCAUGGUUCAAUCUGGGAAGCCAGACACUGCUCCUGGGGCCAUCACAGUCCCCCCCCCGCGCAGUCAUGGAGAUAGUUCUUUGCCCGUGUGCCUUGCUAAUAGGUUUGCUUGAUGAGAAUAAGGCUGGUGGGAAGACAGCAGUGAAGGAGAUCUCUUCCCUUCUGAAUUUUCAGAGGGGAUGUUAUAAUCCUGCAGCUUUAACGUGUUCAUGUUAUCAAGUGAUAUAAGAACCCAAAGCCCCAGAUUAAUACUUGGAAACUGUACUGUCAACCUCAAACACAGUAAGGUAAACACAUUGAACUGAACCGCAAGUGACCUUGCUAUUGAAGUUAGAUAGAAACUCCUACCACAUCGGACUUCCGGGGUUUGGUACAAUCAUUUGUCUUGAUGGCCUCAUGUAUGCAGUCGCUAUAGUCAGUAUUACACUUGCCACAUUUACAGCUUAUAGCUACCGGGUAGGAGAAAUAGGGAGUAACAUGGUGUGGGCAUCCUGGUAUUUCUACAGUCUUGUACAGGAAGUCUCUGUAGGUGCAAACAUCUUGGGACAGAGCAUAUUUGGGAAGAAACAGUUUGCCAUUGAUAUCCUGAGGGAAGAACAGAAGAGGAAGCAAAAUGUUAAUUCGCUUACAUCCCAUAGAUACAAAUAGGACUGGGGGAGGAUUCCUUAGUCCCAUUCCCCAAUACCAAUUCAGCAUAUCCACACUGAAUCCUAUAGAGACAAAAAUGACAUACACACACACCUCUCUUUUAUCCUUGAUCGUGGGAACAAGAUAAGGUUUAAAUAAACUUUGGGAGUAAAACUAUUGUAAAAAUUAUCUGUACCAACUGUAUGGAAUAGGUCCGUAUAUUAUAACCUAGGGACUCUACCUCUAAGGAGCCAAUGACCGUUAGGUCUGCGAAAUGAGGUUGUGAUUUAUCUCAUUUCCUUUCUGGAUAGAAAUGGACUGAGUCUAGGUUUAUCUAAUUUUCAGCUAAAAGAAGUGAGAUGAACUACAUACCCGUGUCAUACAAUAUCCAGCACAGAUGGUGGUGUUGAUGGUUAGGCAAUAAGCACACUCUUUCCUUUCGACAUGCAUCAUAUACUCAGUUGGAAAACAAAAAGACAUCGCUUGUCCACAUGCCAGGCCAAAAAGCACGGACAUCACGUAGAUUGCAGUCAUGCUAAAUCAAAGACAAAAUUAAAGACUCUAUUACAUGAAUCCUUUAGGACAUUCAGAAGGGACAUUUAGAAAGAGCUACAGUGCGUGUGCAUAUGUGUGUGCGUGUGUGUGUGUAAAUAUAUAUAUUUAUCGAAUGCCUACUUUGUCCUAGGCCCUAUAUUAGGUGUUUUUACAUACUUAGUACUCUCAAUAACCUUUCUUUAUAAUGUGGCCAUGAGCCAUAUACGUCAUAGUGUAGGAACUCACAUAGCAAAUGUCCUGCUCGCAAGUGCCACUUAACAACACUGGGCAGUGAAAUGGAAAGCCUGAAACAUCACAAUAGAAAAGUGACAGACACAUAAGGUCAACUCAGCGCAAAACAAUUCAUUCAGUAGAAACAGUUUAAAUACCUGCCUCUAAUUAUAAGAAGUGACUUAACAGGCCUCAGUAGGGGCUUUUCAAAACAGGAGUUUUCUAAAAUCUUUGGUUCGAUAGUUUAAAAGGCCAACAGACUAGUCAUAAUUAGAAAGCAUAUAGAAACCAAGAAAAUGUAUAAUCAAACUGUAGUGCCAUCUCAAUGCAAAUAAGCUUGCAUACAAUUCUAUCCAAUGUCUGUCAAGGAAGAUGAAGCUAGAGAAAGCCUAGAAUGGGCCAACUAUUCUAGUGUUAUUCUAACCGGUGUUAAAGGGUUAACCCAGAAAUCUAGAACCCCCCCCCCCUUUUCCAACCCUGAGAAUAUUCUCUGAUGGUUGAAAGAAGUGGAGUUGGACAAAUAAAAAUUAUUUUACUAAGAAAA